UACGUAGGGGGCAAGCGUUGUCCGGAAUCAUUGGGCGUAAAGCGCGUGUAGGCGGCUCGAUAAGUCUGCUGUGAAAGUCCAGGGCUCAACCCUGGGAUGCCGGUGGAUACUGUCGAGCUCGAGUCCGGAAGAGGAGUGUGGAAUUCCUGGUGUAGCGGUGAAAUGCGCAGAUAUCGAGGAGGAGCACCGAUAGCGAAGGCAGCACUCUGGUACGUGACUGACGCUGAGACGCGAAAGCGUGGGGAGCAAACAGG
rnacentral:rRNA from 1 species